AAGUCGUAACAAGGUUUCCGUAGGUGAACCUGCGGAAGGAUCAUUACAAAUAAAGCUGGUAGGAAGUGGGGGUCUUGAUUGCUGUAAGUGGCAAGAGCGGCAACGAAGGUCCCGGGACCUGACCUUCCCCCGGCUAAAGCUUCCGGAAUGCUUUACCAUUACGAUUCCCCCCGUCCCCAACCAAGGCCCCUUGAAGGGCCCGAAUUUACAACCCCUUUGAUUUAUCUACACUUGUUGCUUUGGGGGUGCUCAAGUGCCCCCAGAGGACCCAACUCUCUUGCAUUUAGUGACGUCUGAGUACUAUAUAAUAUUUAAAA
rnacentral:misc_RNA from 1 species